GACGAACGCUGGCGGCGUGCCUAAUACAUGCAAGUCGAACGCAGUGGGGACGGGUGAGUUACAUGUGGGUAACCUUCCAUUAGAGGGGAUACCACUUGGAAACAGGUGCUAAACCGAUACUGAUGGAUGGACCCGAGGUGCAUUAGCUAGUUGGUGAGGUAACGGCUCACCAAGGCCCCGAUGCAUAGCCGACCUGAGAGGGUGAUCGGCCACACGGGGACUGAGACACGGCCCAGACUCCUACGGGAGGCAGCAGUAGGGAAUCUGCGGCAAUGGACGAAAGUCUGACCGAGCAACGCCGCGUGAGUGAAGAAGGUUUUCGGAUCGUAAAACUCUGUUGUUAGAGAAGCGGUAUCUAACCAGAAAGCCACGGCUAACUACGUGCCAGCAGCCGCGGUAAUAC
rnacentral:rRNA from 1 species